rnacentral:rRNA from 1 species
AAUAUAAGAGGUCCCGCCUGCCCUGUGACUAUAUGUUUAACGGCCGCGGUAUCUUAACCGUGCGAAGGUAGCGUAAUCACUUGUCUUUUAAAUGAAGACCUGUAUGAAUGGCAUCACGAGGGCUUAACUGUCUCCCCUCUCCAGUCAAUGAAAUUGACCUCCCCGUGCAGAGGCGGGGAUAUCUUUAUAAGACGAGAAGACCCUGUGGAGCUUUAGACCUAAAAUAAACCACGUUUAAGAUACUAAAAUUAAUAGCAAAAACUUAGUGGAUAAUUAUUAAAGUGUCUUUGGUUGGGGCGACCGCGGAGUAAAACACAACCUCCAUGUGGACGGGGAUACUAUCCCUAAAACUCAGAGCCUCCACUCCAAGCAACAGAAAUUCUGACCUAACUGAUCCGGUAUAACCGAUUAACGAACCCAGUUACCCCAGGGAUAACAGCGCAAUCCCCUCUCAGAGCUCAUAUCGACGAGGGGGUUUACGACCUCGAUGUUGGAUCAGGACAUCCUAGUGGUGCAGCCGCUAUUAGGGUUCGUUUGUUCAACGAUUAAAGUCCUACGUGAUCUGAGU